UUAAAGUGACAAUGUGUAUUUUUCCUGGUGAUGGGGGCAGUAGAUACCUAAACUGUUUCAAGGAAGCUGUAUUUUGUGUUGGAGUAAGACCUUAACAACGUGUAGCCCAGUGUUUUACCAAGUUAUGGUGAAUUCCUACACUCUUCUGUCAUUUAAUGCACCAUGCCUAAGUCAUGUGACAUUGAUCACAUGAUCAAAGGCCUGCACUGGCUUCCUCCCUGCAGACAUGUGGGGGAAAGCCAAGUGACAGAGCUGUUGCAGGUCAGUACAUCAAAAACCAAAGCUUUUUCAUAAUGCAUUUGUUUGACAUUCACUAAGAUAUUACUUGACUCAGACACCGACAACUGUGAGCUGGAGCCUUGUAGGGUCAUCAUACACCAUACAGAAGCUGGAAUUGGCCAGGUGACCCUUUAAGGGUUUAAGGAUGGCGAGCUAACGAUUGGCCAGGGGCCAGAAGACCUCUCCUUCAUCUUCCUACUGGUCUGGUAGGAAGUUGUCUCAGACAACGCUCUGUCCACCCCCAACUCCUUAAUCAAUUCUUGGAUUCACACACCUCCCUUUUCAGUACUCUUUGACAAAGCGCUUGGAUAACUUUCAUGGACACUCGGAUCACAUCCUGGACAAUUAAUUCGGUGUGAAUUCAUUGGAUUUUCAAGUCCUGCAAAGGAGUGUUAACUAUUCAGGGGAUCAGACCGAAGUCAGAGUGUUCCUCUAGAACGUUCACUAGAACUAGAACUUUCAAAGUGCACUUUAACUUAUUUAUCAGUGCUGCAGCAGUGGAACCUGUUAAUUUGUGUUUGUUUAUUUUAUUUAUAAUUAUUCAAUAUAUUGUCUUUGCAAACUA